rnacentral:tRNA from 1 species
CUAUGGCUCAGCUGGUAAAGCAUCUGCCUGCGAUGCAGGAGACCCGGGUUCGAUUCCUGGGCCGUAAA